CAAGCCGUAAACAUUCCUUGCUAAUUGCUUGGUCCUUUAUGGAUUGAGUGAUGUAAGCUAACGCGUUAAGCAAGGCGCCUGGGGAUUACGAUCGCAAGAUUAAAACUCAAAGGAAUUGAC
rnacentral:rRNA from 1 species